UUCAGUUGCUGAACAUUCUGCAUGAAACAGCAAUUGAAAGCCAACCAUUCUCCAAUUCAAUUCUCCAAUUCUCCAAUUGGAAUUUUUCUGGUCAAAUCUUUUUCUUGUUAGUUAUUUUGACUAGCAAUAUUGAGCCAGGGACGAGACUUACUGACUUAAGCAAACCAAGUGGAUGGUCAAAACCAAAGGCCCGUCUGAGUCUGUCCAGGAAGCCUUUACUUCUUACGGGACGAUAUCAAAGUUAGCAGAAGAGUUACGGGAAAAAAAAAUUCACAAUAAUUAGUCAGAAGAGAUGCGAAAGUGAUAAAGACAAUCCGAGGAAGCACCAGGAGAAUUUAUUCUCACAUAACGAACAGCUUACAAUUAUUAGCCAAGUAGUCCUGCAGGCGCCAGGUUCUCUUAUUAUCGUAAUGAUAUGACCUUUGAAUUGCGCGCGAUUUGAAUUGGGUUUUUGUGAUUAUUAACUUUAUUAAAACAUAAAAAGUGCCAUUCUUAAAA